GGCCAAAGCCAUAUCUCUCUUCAGUUCUCAUCUGGUUUUCCAAUGAAGCUAAGCAGGAUUGAGCCUGGCGUACCUGGAUUGAAGACCUCCUGGGGAAAACUAAGGUUGCUGUGGGAA
rnacentral:rRNA from 1 species